ensembl:lincRNA
GACGUCUCCAGGCUGCUCCUGGAGUUCGAGCCCUUGCCGUCCGGAGGGAACGAGACCCUGGUGCUGCUGAACCGCAGCCAGACGCCGGACCCGCGCUACCGCGCGCGCGUCUCCAUGGGCAGCCGGCACUGGAGUCUGCACGCCGUGACGGUCGGAGACCAGGGGGUCUACAUCGUGCGCGACUGGGAGGGCAGAGAGCUGGACAGGGUGUGUCUGGUGCUGAGAGAGCCCACCCGCUACGCCGACCUGCCCUGGGGGGGCACCCUGAAGAUGGACCUGGCGCCGGGGGGCGCGGCCGCCAGCCUGCUCUUCACCCCCGACGGCGAGCGGGCCGCCCGCGUGCUGGUGCGCGACGGGGAGGUGGCCGACCUGCGCUACGGCCGGCGCCUCCUGCUGGAGGGAGGGCUGUGGGCCCUGCGGGAGCUAAAGCCGGCCGACGGCGGGCUCUACCAGAUCGCCGACCCGCAGGGCCGGGCCGUCGCCAGCAUCUACGCCAGGGUGCAAGGUCAGGCCCGAUCCCCUUGCGCCGGGCUCCUGGUUCUGGGUCCGAGGGCGGCUACAAGCCCCGCCGACUGCGCACGCGCACACGGGGAGAGGAGGGGAAGGGCGGGCAGAGGCCUCCCUCACCGACAGCACUUCCUGCCUGCGGGCCAAUAGGGGGCACUGCACAGACACGAGAGAGAGCCCUGGCCCGGCUCAUCCCACCCUGAGGUUGAGUGUGUCUUCAAUGAGGCCUCCCCCUGGCCAAUGGGCUGUCAUUAAGCUUGAUUGACUCUUGCUUGAGCCAAUGGGCUGUCAUUAAGCUUGAUUGACUCUUCCUUGACCCAGUGGGCUGUCAUUAAGCUUGAUUGACUCUUCCUUGAGCCAAUGGACUGUCAUUAAGCUUGAUUGACUCUUCCUUGAGCCAGUGGGGUGUCAUUAAGCUUGAUUGACUCUUCCUUGAGCCAAUGGGCUGUCAUUAAGCCGGCCACAAGGGGGCGCUGUGCCACUGAGAGAGAGAGCGAGCGCCCUGGCCCGGCUGAACCACAUGGCUCAGUCUUUUUAUUUAAUACCCCCACCCCGAGCUGCACCUACCCCGUGCCUCUCUCCUGUCUCUCUCUCCUCUCUGACCCCUUUGUCUCUCUCUCUCCUCUGUCCUCUCUCCUCUCUGACCCUUGUGUGUCUCUCUCCUGUCUCUCUCUCUGACCCCUGUGUCUCUCUCUCUCCUCUGUCCUCUCUCCUCUCUGACCCCUGUGUCUCUUUCUCUCCUCUGUCCUCUCUCCUCUCUGACCCCUUUGUCUCUCUCUCUCCUCUGUCCUCUCUCCUCUCUGACCCUUGUGUGUCUCUCUCCUGUCUCUCUCUCCUCUCUGACCCCUGUGACUCUCUCUCCUGUCUCUCUCUCUGACCCCUGUGUCUCUCUCUCUCCUCUGUCCUCUCUCCUCUCUGACCCAUGUGUCUAUCUCUCUCCUCUGUCCUCUCUCCUCUCUGACGCCUGUCUCUCUCUCUCCUCUCUGACCCUUGUGUCUCUCUCUCCUCUCUCCUCUGUCAAUUCAGUUAAAGUUCAGUUAAAUGUCAAUUAAAGUCUUAUUCUCUAUCGGCUGGGCAGGCAGUCCAAUGUAAUUGCAGUCCAGUGUAUGUGCACUUAGAAACAUGUUUUAUUGUAUUUGGGUUUUCUGAGGGUGAUGAUCGCUGGUUUCGCCUGUAAAACUGGAACUCCUAUGAGCUUCUCCCAUUCCAACCAGUAGGUCUUGGCCAAGCUGGUCCAAACCUCAGAGACAGGUUUCUGACCUCUGUCACAUUGCCACAAGGUUUAGAAAGGACAGUUUUGAGUGAGUCUUCCUUGAGCCCUCCCCCUGGCCAAUGGGCUUUCAUUAAGGACGAGUGACUCUUCCUUGAGCCAAUGGGCUGUGAGCAGCUGUCUAUCCUUCCUGGCCGCUCUGACGUUUCCUCUCCUGCCCCGCUCCCCUCUCGCCAGCCUAUAAGCUCCCUCCUCUGUACGUGGCCAUCCUGUCGCUGCUGGGGGUGGUGGCCUUGCUGCUCUGCGUGUGCCUGGUGUCCUGCCUCUUCAGGAUCCGCCGCAGGGAGCUGAAGGCCAAGGCCAUCGCCAGGAUCGCCCAGGAGGCCGGCAAGGGCGACGGAGAGGCGUUCCGCCAGGUGAGGGCCGACCCCUGACCCCCGACCCCUGACCCCUGACCCCCGACCCCCAAGCUCUGGCUGACGCGUGUGCGCUCUGCGGUCGCCCCAGGUCGUCCAGGAGGUGUACACCCGGUUCUC